rnacentral:misc_RNA from 1 species
ACUUCGAAAGCGCCGCCUUCUGAAGGUAGCCGAUCAGCGCAGGAGGACACCGCCGUGCCCUGUCGCCCUUGUGUGUUCUUUUUGCGCCUCCUGUCGCAUCUUCCUUCUCUACGCCCGCUCUGUGCGUCUCUUCACCACCGCUGCAGCGUGCUAUGGCGGAGCACCAGCAGUCGUUUUUUGCGCAGGCCCUCUCGCCCCUGGCACCCGAGGCGUCGCCCAAGAGCCACGCUGCUUCCAUCGAGUCCGCGUCGCAUCGGCACGCAACGGCGGACGAGGCGCGUGCCUCUGUACCACCUCAGCGCCGAGCGAGUGCAGCGGGAAGGGGCGCAGCGUCUCCUGCGACCACGCCACCCCCGCGCAUUCACGACAAAGCCUGGCUCUUCCACACGGUGCUCCUGCCAUCUAUCCGAACGACGGACUUUCGUCGCGACGGCAGCACACAGCAGCACGGCGCCGGUGACGUGCAAGGAAAAGCCGCGUCACUGCUCGCGCGCGACGACGUGACACAUGUGAGGUCCCCAAAGUCGACCGGGCGUGCGAGCACCAGCGCUCCCGUGGAUCCUGCGCCGACCUUCUUGAUGGAGCCGAAUCACCUUUUUUUCGAAGACACCCCGUCCCCCUCUCGCAGCGGUGGGUCAUUGGCAGACCGCUACAGCCUACGCACGCUCUACACGUCCCGCUGUGUGAGCCUUGGCAUGCGGCGGCCAUUCGACCGCCUCCUGCAGCAGCUUCCCAGUGAAGCUGGCCAAGACGCAGCCGAUCAGUUACGCAUGCUUGUCGCGCGAGACACGUACAUCCCGGCCAAGGCGUGCCAAGCGCUCACGGUGUUGUUGCCCUACUGCACCGGGCUCGAGUACAUCAACCUGUGCAACGCAGGGCUGCGGAGCAAAUCCGGCUUCAUGACAGGUGUGAACGCGCUAUUGGACGCCCUCAUCUGCAGCCCGGCAGGCAGCGGCAUCGGUGCGGCCCUGCACACCAUUGAUCUCUCCUUAAACAAGCUCGACGACCGCACCGGUCGGCGACUCUUGCGCCUCGCCCAGCAGCAGCCUCACCUGCGUGUGGUGAAUAUUGACGGCACAGAAAUUAGGGACAGGAUGAAGACACGCAUCGCGGAAGAGCUGCGCAGGAACUCGAAGGCGCGCACACCGCCUAUAUUGCUCGACGAGGCAGAUGAGGAGCAAACUGCCGCCUCUACCGCGGCUUAGCCCUUUGCCCUAGCUGGCCCGCUGACGAAGCCAGGAGUGGCAUUCGUGUUUCGCGACGACGAUGCCGACGGGCUGGGAGGCAAGCUCCCUGCUGUUCGCGACGGUGACGGCGCCGCAUCCGUGACGUCAUCCACGGUGAGUAAACGCCACAGCUCACACCGCAGUGACUCACAGAGGCUUGCUGGCCACAAAGCAAGCAGAAGCCAGAACGCCAGCGCGAGCAACGCGGAUGCGGCAGAGGUAAGCGGCAGUGAAAAGGAGUGACAAUGAUGAUCCUCAGCGGCGUACGCCCACUGGCACGGCGACGGCGCUGAAGAUCUGCGACCUGCACGUGCUCGUGCGCCCACCCACCCUCACUCCUUUUUGAAGGGCAUCAGGAAAGUGAGGGAAGCAUGCAGAAGGUAAAAUGGCAUUCGCACAAGAGACGCGAUGGUGGCGAUGCGCGAUUCGCCGAUGCAGGUACCUCUGCCACACGGCCGCCGAGGCUUAUUGUUUUCUUUUUUAGCUUCAUAGCCUUGCCGAAAGGAGUGGAAAAGGUCUCCCCAGUCCCUCUGCCCCCCUCCCCCCUUGCGCAGUGCUCCCGCCGGCAUGGACACGCACGCGUACGCCAAGGUCAGAACCUUGUGCAUGGUUUCCUUCGUGCCUGACGACGAGAUCCCUCCCUCUCCCUAUCAUCACCGAAUGCUGCCUGUGCCUUGUGGGUAUGUGCACGGCCACCUCCUGCAUGUGGGAUCUGUUUCGGUCACCUCCUGGUUCCUGUGUGUCUGGUGGAAGGCUUCGCACCGAUGUGUUCGCCUCCCUCCACCCACGCCAUACGCACACACAGGCAGUUUCUUCUUCCUGUCAUGCCUUGUCUCCUCCGCAUGGGCUGCGCUGCUCUCCUUUCGCGAUGUCCGUCGCUCUCUCCCCUUCCCUCAGGCGCCCGUCGUUCUCACCGGGAAAGACAAAGACAGCGAAAAGGUGUUCAACGGAAAUGGGACGAUUCGUGCUUCUAUGUAUCUGCGCCCUCGUGAGCCGACCCACUCCCGUCCUUUUGGCUUCCUCGUCUUCUUUCAUCUCGUGUUGGCCUUGAUGCGCUUCGGCUUUCGCGUUUCCUCGCGCUCCUUCUGGUCUGUUUUCUGGAACUGUUGCUCCAGCUUGUGCCCUUCUCAUGCCAGGCGCCUUCUUUGUGCAUGCCCUCGGUGCAGAGCGUUUUGUCAAGGGUCCAUUCCCCCUCCCCCGCGUAUAGCCUCGCCUCGCCUCGUCGCGGCUUCCCUCCGUCUUGCGGCGACAUAUGUGUGUGCGUGUGUGCGCGCGCCUUCUUUCGUCCUUUGCUGCGUUGUUUGUCCUCCUCAUCCUUUUUCGUUGUUCGCUGCUGUGAUGUGGGUUGGAACUACACCGUGAGAGCUGUAAGGAUACGCGCAGGGCACGACGUCCUCGGCAAUCGUUGCACCUUCUCGCUCUCUCUCAUUCCUCGCUUCUUCGCCUCCUUGCCCGUGCCCCAUUCUCUGUUCGCAUCGCUCACACAGGGCAGAGAGGUGCGCAGGGCGAGGCGGCCGGAGUUGGCGUCUCUUCUGAGCACACGAGCGCAUCUAGAACACGGUGGGAAAGGAAGUAAAUGCAAUGAUGAUGCUCGAGUGUGGCCACCGUGUGCGCUUUUUUUUUGUGUGUGUGUCGAUUCGAGCCAAAAGGAAAAGAACCCAAAGCGGUAGGCAGGCUUGUCGUGUAUCGGCUCUGCCACCACGAAUCCCCCGCCGCUUCCUCCUCCUCGUUUCCUCUCCGGCCUAUCACCGAGUGACGGCGGCGUCUCUAGCAAGUGAAAGUCUGUAGCAGGAAACUACUUUUCUUAGUUCUUCGCCCUUGUCCUCCUCCCACCCCCCCCCCUCCUCUUCCUUCCCCUCGGCCUCUUCCCUCUGUAAGUUUGCCCCGUCUCCAUUUUUUUUGUCCCGCUCCCGCUCUCUUGGAACGCCACGUGGCCCUUCGGCGACAAUGUACAUGCUCGGCAAACUUUCUCUUCUUUGUUUUCGCGAUGGGGGAGGGGGAGGGGGGUCGCUUUUCUUGUGGUUUGGGUCUCCGCUUUUAGUGUGGCGGGGGCCUCCUGAAGUAAAUUGCAGCCCAUUCGCGAGUUUCGCCGCACACACUCGUUUUCUGUCGAUCUCAACGGAGCAAGCAACGAAAAGGCAAAAAGGGACCGCAUCGGCGCGUGUGGACUCGACCACGGUGCCCUGCGCUUCGCAGCUGCCCAUCUGCCGUCACCUCCCCUCCCCCUCCUCCUCUCCUAGUUGAGCUCGUCAUCGAUGCCCUUUAGUGCAAUGGCCAACUGCCCGCUCUUCUGCGAGGGGCAGCAAACAAAGGGCAUGCGGAAAAGCGGCUCAGCGGCGCUCAUUUCACUGCCCGCUGGCCGGGUGGUACCUCCCACGGUGCUGCACUGGC